AUUGAACGCUGGCGGCAUGCCUUACACAUGCAAGUCGAACGGCAGCAUGGAGAGCUUGCUCUCUGAUGGCGAGUGGCGAACGGGUGAGUAAAGCAUCGGAACGUACCGUGUAGUGGGGGAUAACGUAGCGAAAGUUACGCUAAUACCGCAUACGCACUGAGGUGGAAAGCAGGGGAUCGUAAGACCUUGCGCUAUACGAGCGGCCGAUGUCAGAUUAGCUAGUUGGUAGGGUAAAGGCCUACCAAGGCGACGAUCUGUAGCGGGUCUGAGAGGAUGAUCCGCCACACUGUGACUGAGACACGGCCCAGACUCCUACGGGAGGCAGCAGUGGGAAAUUUUGGACAAUGGGGGCAACCCUGAUCCAGCCAUGCCGCGUGAGUGAAGAAGGCCUUCGGGUUGUAAAGCUCUUUCGGCCGGGAAGAAAUCGCACAGGCUAAUACCCUGUGUGGAUGACGGUACCGGCAUAAGAAGCACCGGCUAACUACGUGCCAGCCGCCGCCGUAA
rnacentral:rRNA from 1 species